rnacentral:ncRNA from 2 species
GGUCACGAGAGUCAGCGUCAAGCCCCAGCUUGCUGACCGGCAACCCUCCCACCGCGGCGGGGUGCCCUGGGUGAAGACCUGGCCGGGACGUCGUCCGACGCCCACGGCAAGCGCGGGCC